rnacentral:misc_RNA from 1 species
AGCCCACAUCAGCUUCCAUAUCCAAGAGACCAGUCGACCUCAACAGGCCAUGCCAUAGUUACAAGGGCAACAACUGCAUGGACCACAGAGACCGCUUCCAGGUUCGUUCAACGCUGCAAGCAACGCAUUACGAAAUGAACUUUGAUCUAGCCACACAAUGCCCUUUAUUAGGUAUGCAACACAGAAACCCAAUGAUGCACAAGAAAAAUAAAGCCUUGCACAACAACUGAAGAGGUAUGAACGCGUGGAAGUUGCUGCACAAACAGACAUCCAACCACCCGUAACAAACCAAACACCACUCAUGCACCUUUACGGAAAACAUCCCCGUAGAACAUCAAACUAAAAACCACCCGCCUGGCACAAACACCAAGCAAG